CCAAAAAACACUCUGGGAGAAAACUAUGUCUAGAAAAUGAACAGAUACAGAUAAGACAUAUGCUAAAAUGGAGUUUGUUUCCAGUGUUAAAUAUCAAUUCAGAACUUCACUUUGAUUGGAAGAUUUGGUAAAUCACUGUCAAGGCUCCAUAUUGAAGGCUAUAUUGGAAAAGUUACUGGAUGGAAAUUUGUCGGUAUUCCAUAACAAUACAAGAGCUCAUCAGUCGUAAAAGUGUGUCCAUCAAAGAGCCAUCAAAAAACCAACUCUGAACAGCCAAAGGCUUCUUCAGAGAAUCCACUUCUCUUGGGACUCUUGCUGUAUUUGAUGUCUUCUUAUGCCUCCAUUGUUACACUGGCGUGUAAAACAGGGUGUUUAAUUCGGCUUCACUGGAGCUGUGCCAGGUCCUGAUGGAAAUGAGGUUAGCACUUAUUUGUCCAGUGUAAGUAAAUGGAAAGCCAUGCUAAGGAUCACUAAAACUCAG